CCUACGGGUGGCUGCAGUGGGGAAUAUUGGACAAUGGGCGAAAGCCUGAUCCAGCCAUGCCGCGUGUGUGAAGAAGGCCUUCGGGUUGUAAAGCACUUUCAGUGGGGAAGAAAGCCUUGGGGCUAAUACCCUCGAGGAAGGACAUCACCCACAGAAGAAGCACCGGCUAACUCCGUGCCAGCAGCCGCGGUAAUACGGAGGGUGCGAGCGUUAAUCGGAAUUACUGGGCGUAAAGCGCGCGUAGGCGGUCUGAUAAGCCGGUUGUGAAAGCCCCGGGCUCAACCUGGGAACGGCAUCCGGAACUGUCAGGCUAGAGUGCAGGAGAGGAAGGUAGAAUUCCCGGCGUAGCGGUGAAAUGCGUAGAGAUCGGGAGGAAUACCAGUGGCGAAGGCGGCCUUCUGGACUGACACUGACGCUGAGGUGCGAAAGCGUGGGUAGCAAACAGGAUUAGAUACCCCUGUCGUC
rnacentral:rRNA from 1 species